rnacentral:rRNA from 1 species
UGGGCAACCUGCCCCUCUCUCUGGGAUAACCCCGGGAAACCGGAGCUAAUACCGGAUACUCCGGCUGGAUCGCAUGGUCCGGCCGGGAAAGGUCCGCCGGAGAGGGAUGGGCCCGCGGCCUAUCAGCUUGUUGGUGGGGUCAUGCCUCACCAAGGCGACGACGGGUAGCUGGUCUGAGAGGACGACCAGCCACACUGGAACUGAGAUACGGUCCAGACCUCCGUACGGGAGCA